rnacentral:rRNA from 1 species
AUGCCGGUGGAAAAUAACAAGUGUGUGGAACAUGCAAGAGUGACGGGGAGUGAUCCCGGUUACCGGGUUCCCAUGAGACGAUGGCAUGGCAAUGGGGAACAUGCAAGAAAAACGUUGGGCAUGGUGCAAACGCGAGCAUUUCAUACAACACAUCACAUGCAUUCGUUCAUGGACGGUCAUCUCGAGGUUACACCUUCGAGGACGUCGUACAUGGAGGUUGAGGCCGCGAUGUCGGCCGACGAACUGAAGGAGGCGACACCUCGGCUCCUGCAGCAAAACGACGGCGAGGCGGAGAAGGGGACGGCAGGCAGCGGAGGUGGAUCUAAGGUCGCGAUGCAGCGACGGUCAUCUGAAGCAGGGACGUGGGGCCCUGCCGGCGGGACCCGGCCGGGAACAGGCAGGGCGGCGGAGGAGCUUGGGCGCCGGACAGGAGGCCGGGCCACGAGGCCAUGA